GGAUGUGGCGCAGCUUGGUAGCGCGCGUCGUUCGGGACGACGAGGUCGCAGGUUCAAAUCCUGU
rnacentral:tRNA from 1 species